UACGGGAGGAGCAGUGGGGAAUAUUGCACAAUGGGCGAAAGCCUGAUGCAGCUAUGCCGCGUGUAUGAAGAAGGCCUUAGGGUUGUAAAGUACUUUCAUCGGGGAGGAAAAAACAAAACUAAUAAUUUUAUUUCUUGACGUUACCCGAAAAAGAAGCACCGGCUAACUCCGUGCCAGCAGCCGCGGUAAUACGGAGGGUGCUAGCGUUAAUCAGAAUUACUGGGCGUAAAGAGCACGUAGGUGGUUUUUUUAAGUCAGAUGUGAAAUCCCUGGGCUUAACCUAGGAACUGCAUUUUGAAACUGAAAUACUAGAGUAUCGUAGAGGGAGGUAGAAUUCUAGGUGUAGCGGUGAAAUGCGUAGAUAUCUGGAGGAAUACCUGUGGCGAAAGCGGCCUCCUAAACGAAUACUGACACUGAGGGUGCGAAAGCGUGGGGAGCGAAACAGGGAUUAGAUACCCGU
rnacentral:rRNA from 1 species